GUUGGAGCCUCACCCGACGGAUCUCGUAGUUGCCAUCGUCCUCUUCCCUUCCUCCUUCCACAGCCCUGCCAAAGCUGUAAGCGCCGCCAUCGUCCAACCAGCGCGCCGGGCUACGUGAGCGCACCAGUCUCCGAUCUCCAUUCCUAUCGAGCAGCUCUAUGCCGAUCCGCGACGGCAGCAGCCCCGACCCUCCAUGGUUGCGUCGACGGCCCUCUCCACGCGCACAGCACCGCUAGCCUGUGUGGCAGGCGUCCCUGGCGGCGGCAGGCACAACCUGCACGGAGCCUCACGACAGCUUCCAGAUCAAGUCAUCGAGGGCAGUUGAUCCGACGUCACUCCCCUGGCCUUAUGGAGCCUGUAUCUGGCCGGCGGCGGCGCCCGUCUCCCACAAUUUUUGAGUCCUCAUGGAUUCAGAUUCCAUUAGGAUUUUUAAGCAGUGAUUUUUUUUUCAUCAUCGGUUUCAGAUCGGACUUCAACGUGAGACUGCAUAUCAUCAAAGUUCCUGUCCGUGUGAAGCUGCUCCAAUCAGCAUCCACUAUGUGCCACCAUCGUGGUAUUUGGUUCGUGCAAUCCUGCCGCCGUCAUGGUAUUUGAGUUGUUGCAUCCACCGGCGACUCCAUGCGAGAUAUGGUGCAGGCAUAGGCAGUGAAGCCAGAUUAAGUUUUCUCUAGAUUUUUAGUACUGAUGAUGAUUUGAUUUCUGCAAGUGAAUAUUACAUUGGUGUAAUUGUGUUGAUAAAAGUAUAUACGCAUACUCCCUUCUCACAAAA